CAAUCAUAGAUGCUACACUCGAGCAGCAUCCGAGCCUUCACCAACUUUCUUUCCUUCUUUCUGAACGAACUAAUUUAAUUUCCUCAGUUUGAGCUCUGAGGAGGUGAAGAAACUUGGCGCGAAACGUGUCACGAACUCAACAUAUCUAUGGUUUGAUGACCUGAUGACCCCUACAUCCAAACAAUGGCCUGUGAGACUCGCUGGAGACUAGUCAGGCACUGUUUCCUACUGAAGCCCACUGUAGUUGGAUGCCCAUAAAGUGCACCAUUUUUAGAUGACAACAUUUAGAAUUCAAAAGUUUGAGAAUGAUGAGACAACAGUCCUACAGAAGAUACUACAGGACACUAUUGACACUGAGGAGCUAUAACAGUGGAGAAGAGGAAGAUGGCUAGCCAGGAUGAAGUGAUAAAUGAGAAUGAGGCUGUCACUAAACAAAAAAGGUCACCGUAAUUAUUGCCUUUUAUUUGUUUCUUGUUGUAUUUUGCAUUAAUGGAUUUUUUAUUCAUUUUUGCCCUUUUCUUUCCUUCCCAGUCAGUAGCUGAGAGGUUGUGGACCUACUGGACUUCACUUCAGACAAAAAUCAUGAAAGUAAACUUGACAUGGACAGCCACAUUAAUAAAAGAUUGAAAUACACCGUUUGUUCCCAGUGGAUUAAAACAAACAUUGAUGAAAGAGCUAACUAUACAUGUACAUGUACAAGUACAUGUAUGCAACUUGACCUGUGAUAUCACCAGAUCCUAACAUCAAUGAUAGGAAUACCAAUGAUGGUCAUUCUCGUGUCAAAUUACAAUUGAAAGUCCUAAUGUCCCUGGGUCAGAUUACACAUGUAUAUCAAGAUAAACUACAUACAUUGACGAAAAUCAAAAGGAAAAUUAAUGCCUAUAAUAUACAUCUCAGGGUCCAGUUCCUCACUUUAUUGAUGAUUUCUGGUUGAACAGAAUGUGGAGACAGUUGUAAUACUGACAAACCUAAAAAAGAAAUGAAGAGCAAUGUGUGGCCUAAUUCUGGUACAUGUACUGAGAUGUACAGAUUCUUUGAGACAACGCUUCACUCAAUGAAGGAAUACCCAGACUACACUGUACAUACAUGUACUUGGAAAAUUCAAGAUAGUUGACAGCAGAGUGAGAGGAUGCUGAGGGUAGUAGUCAACAUGUUAAACAGUUCCAAUGUGUACCUGAUUUUUCCGUUGGUCUUUUGGACGAGAGAGAAGAAGUAGAGAAAUGUCAGAGGAACUCUGAUGACAAACCAACAUUCACUGAAGGAUCAAUAUAUUGACUCUCUUCACACUUGUGCUAACUUCAGCUUAUGAAAGUGAACUAUAUUGUUUUUGUUUACUGAUUUGGUGCUGUACAUGGUUCUACAUUCCAAUAAUACUUGAUUGUUGGUAGUAUAGUUAUACUCACCGACAGUACAAUAA